UCAGCUAUUUGGAACGGGCGGUAUGGUCCUCGAAUAUCAACGUAGGCCUUGGGCGGCAUGGUCCAAUGAGUUUACUCACAGACGGCAUGGUCUGUUGUGUUUGAGCUCGUUGACCGCAUUUGUUGCAUGGUUGACCGGGUUUUGGUGUGAUAUUGGAUUUCCAUAUUGGUUGCUUAUGAGUAUUUGUACCUCGUUGUGAGUAAGAUAUAUUGGUAAUGUGUUCUUUGAUGUUGUUUCAAAUUUCUUUUAAGUUCAUUAUCUGUUUCUAUUUGAGCUGGGAGAACUGCUAGUUACUCCCCACUGAUUGUGGAAGUUGUUGAUUUAUUAUGUAGAUGGUGAUGUUGUUUAGGAUCGUCACGGUUUGGACCGGGGUUGUGCGUUUUAACCUUUUGAGCAAGAAAGUGGUGCUAGUCAUAGUGGACGAGCACUUUGAAGCUGGAGUUAGGACUAGUUACUUAGUAGGUCUUAAGUAGCUAUCCUCUUGUCUUAUCACAUGUUUUGAAGUACGGAUUUCUAGUUGUCUUUUGGUUUGGAUUUUCUCUAUUUUGAGGUUUCUUUUGGAAAUCAUAUGUUGUUUUGAGACUUGUAGGAAUGAGGGUAUGGGACCUCAUUUCCCUUUUUAUAUAUGAUUUCGGAGGUUGAAUAUUUGUCUUUGAAGGAUUAUUCUUAUCUUUAGUUUCAUAUUCUACUUCUUGGAGUAGCAUCUCCGUCUUAGUGGUAUUUCCGCUGCCGCUAAGUUGCACUAUUUCUUUUACUUUAGUCUCCACUCUUCUUUGUAUUGGACGGGAUGUUACACUAACGCUUCACUUGCCAUCUUCCAUUUUCAUUCUACUGUAUUACAACUAGCAAUUACAAUUUUGGAGUACUUUGCCACCGAAGACACGCUGCACUAGAGUUUCUCAAAGGUGGUUAGUUUAUAAUUCAUUUCUUCAUAUACAAAGUAAUUUAUUUUUAGAUCUUGAUUAUUUGUUAAAUGAAACUACAUUGGAAUGUAGAAUUUUAAUACUUUUUUUACUGGAAAAAUUGCUUAAUAUUCUACUGUAUCUUGAUUUUUUCUUAGUUUUCUUUUUAUUUUCUUAUGAAUUUAGUUAUGAAGAUAUUUUACCCAAAAAUUUGGUUAUUUUUUUUAAAUAUUCUGAAAGUUAUUUUCAGAUCUAAAAAUUUGAAAGGUAAAAUUCUGUAUUAGUUUUUUCUCAUCAAUCUAAUUUUCUGGAACUUCAUCUUCAUAUAUCUUCUUGUAUCUUCAUAGAGAAAAAGGUUCGUGUAUUUCGUCUCUUUGAUGGGGCAAGUAUCACAACCCCAUCUUUGACAUUGAUGUCGAUAAGCUAAAUAGUGUUAUGCAUGAUUAGAUCAGAUUUUAUAUGUCGUGAAUCUUUGGUUUGAAUAUAAUUGUUUUGUAUGCUGGGUAGUGUUGUAAUUAAUAUGAAUUUUGUUUCUUAUGCUUGAACAAGUUGUUGAAGCUUUAUUGUUGAAAAAUGUAUUAUAUAGAUGGUUCGUAAAAUAAACCAAAAUGGUGAGGGAGAUAAAAAAAAAGCAAAUAACAAUGAGAACUAAGAAAGGGGAGAUGUAGGCAGAAUUACUUGGUCAAAAGAAUUAAUCUUAAUGCUUCUUGAUCUUUGUAUCAAACAUACUCUAUGGAGUAAAGGGGAAAAUGGUAUAGUAACUUCACACAAGCUAUUAUGGAAAAAAGUGGUGGAUGAAUGGGAAAUUAAUACUAAUUUACCAUAGGAUAGAUCUCGACUCAAAAAUAAGUUAGACGGGUUGAGGCCCAAAGUGAUACUCUGAAAACAAUUAAAAGGCAAAGAGAUAGGUUUAGGAUGGGAUCAUAAAAAAGGAACGGUAGCCGCAAGUAAUGAGUGGUGGGCUUUAAAAAAUUCAAGUUAGUUUUUCUAAUUGUGAUACAUAUAUGGCAUUUGAUAAGAUAAGGGGAGUUUAAAAAAAUUAAUCUUUUUUCUCAUUUUGGUUAGGAAAAUCCGAAAUUUGAAACUUUUCGAGAUGAAGGAAUAGAACCCGAGCUAGAAUAUAGAAUGGAUCAAGUGUUUGGUGGGUGUGCCCAAAGAGCUGAAAAGUACACUCCAGUGGUUGAUGUUAAUGAUGUAGCAAGAGAAGAUGAAGUAUAUGUUCCUUCUCCACCUCCCACUAAUGUUCCUUUUGACGAAUCAUCUGGUUAUAUUCAUGACAUGGAUGAAGUGUGUUCCAAUUUGGGAAAUGAAUGGGAUGCAAUGUGGAGAGAAACUAGCCCUACAUCUUCUAAUCCCAGACAUCCGAAAUGAAAUUAGUGAUAAAAGUAGAGGGAAAAGGGUUAUGAAGAGUGGUUCAUGUCAAAGCAACAAAAGUGCAAAAUUUGAAAGUACUAAGAAGGCUGUAGUAAGUAUUGCACUUUGUGACAAGAUUGAUGGUAUGGUGCAACUUAUUUCAGAGAGAAAUACUGCAACCAAAGACUUUCAGCUUGCUAUGGCUAAUAUGAUGAAUACUAUGAAUAUUAGUGCUCCAAAAUAUUUUGUGACUGAUGCUAUGGUUAAGUUGUGCUCAGUGACUGAUUUGGAUUCUAAUUCUCAUGUUUACUUUGCUUGUACUCUCAUUGAAGAUCCAUAAAGAAGGACUAUUUUGCUUGAGUUUCCAGAUGACAAAAAACGAGUUGAUUACACUCAUUUUAUCUAUGCACGACAUACAUAGGGCAAGUAGUUCGUGUUACCUGCAUUAUAUAUGUAUCAUGGGAAUGUUAGACAUGUAGGUCUUGAUCCCCUUCGGUUAUGCUAAUUAUAUAGGCCUUGACCCCCUUAAAAUAUUUUGGAGUACUUAAAUAUGAAUGAUCGGGUUUUUUUGUUGGAUGAGUUUAUAUCAUCUACAUUUUGUAUAAACUAACUUGUUAUAUUAUAGUGAUGUUAGUAGUAAUCUUUAACUUGCUACACUUUUUGGUUUUAUUUGUAAGUAUGGAUUAUAAUGUGCAAUUGAAAAUGCUCCUUCUAUAUAGUGACUAUAUGGAUACUGAUGACAACUUUUGGGAUAUGAUAGCUUGUACAACCGGUUAUAUUAGCAUGCAUUACUUAAGUCAUAUACGUAAGGCACCAUGCAUGACCUCAUCUUUGACAGGAGAAAUGUGGAUGGAUGAAAUACUCAAUGGUCAUGAAACUAGAUGUUUUAAUGCCCUUAGAAUGUAUUCAAAUUUAUUCAUUCAAUUGUGCACAGAUUGGAAAAUAGGUAUGGUUUGAGACAUUCAUUUAGGAUGUCAGUUGUAGAAAAAGUGGGUAUCUUUGUGUAUGUUCUUGCUCAUGGUGCCCCUAAUAGAGCAAUAUAAGAGCUUUUUCAGCAUUCCGGCGAAACAAUAAGUCGAGUAGUCAAGGAAGUUUUUUGUGCAAUGGAUGGAUUGUCAAGGGAUGUAACUGUACCUAGAGAUCCUGAUUUCAAAUAAAUACCGCAAUAAUUAGCAUCGGAUACUAGAUACAUGCCAUUUUUCAAGGAUUGCAUUGGAGCUAUAGAUGGUACACAUAUAACAGUCAUUGUUCCGAAAGAAGAUCAAAUGCGUUAUAGAGGAAGGAAAGGGAUACCUACUACAAAUGUCUUAGCAGUAAAUACUAUAUGUCGGGGAUAAAGCGUAUCCGGAAAGAAAAGGAUACUUGACACCUUAUCCUAAGACAAGAUACCAUCAAUCAGAGUUUCGUGGUGCAAAUCCAAGGGGGGUAAAAGAAGUCUUCAAUCGUGCUCAUUCAUUUUUGAGAGGUUGCAUUGAAAGGUCUUUCGGAGUUCUUAAAGCUCGAUGGAAAAUAUUAGGCAAAAUGCCUAGAUACUCAUUCAAAGACCAAAAUAGAAUAAUUUCCUCAUGUUUUACAUUGCACAAUUACAUUAGACGAAACAAAGUUGGUGAUCCCGCUUUUAGACUUGUCGAUAAAGAUCUUAAUUUCGUACCUCCUGAGGGACUUGAAGAUAUUGAAGAUAUUGAAGUUAAUCCCCCACAAUGUGUACAAGAAUUGCCAACUAGAGAUAUGACAUCACUCCGUGAUAGCAUUGCUUCUAGCUUGAUGACAGCUAGACGAGUCAAUAGAGUUAGACGUCGAUCUUAGAUUCUUAGAUUAUUUAUUGUUUAAUUUGGAAGUUACAUUUAUAUAUAUAUAUUUAUGGUUUCAUUUGUUA